UACAGAGGUCCCAAGCGUUGUUCGGAUUUACUGGGCGUAAAGGGUGCGUAGGCGGUCGGAUAAGUCUGAUGUGAAAUCUCCGAGCUUAACUCGGAAAUGGCAUUGGAUACUAUUCGGCUGGAGAGUUGGAGGGGGGACUGGAAUACUUGGUGUAGCAGUGAAAUGCGUAGAUAUCAAGUGGAACACCAGUGGCGAAGGCGAGUCCCUGGACAACUUCUGACGCUGAGGCACGAAAGCUAGGGGAGCAAACAGG
rnacentral:rRNA from 1 species